AGGAUGAUUAGUGAUACGCCUGUUGGGUAGGGGAGCGUUGUGUAAGCGGAAGAAGGUUCAUCGAGAGGUGGGCUGGACGUAUCACAAGUGCGAAUGCUGACAUAAGUAACGAUAAAACGGGUGAAAAACCCGUUCGCCGGAAGACCAAGGGUUCCUGUCCAACGUUAAUCGGGGCAGGGUGAGUCGGCUCCUAAGGCGAGGCUGAAAAGCGUAGUCGAUGGGAAACAGGUUAAUAUUCCUGUACUUGGUAAAGCUGCGAUGUGGGGACGGAGUAGGUUAGGUUAUCGCACUGUUGGAUAUGUGCGUUUAAGUUGGUAGGUGGGAAGUUUAGGCAAAUCCGGACUUCCUUAACACAGAGAGAUGAUGACGAGGCUCUACGGAGCUGAAGUAACUGAUACCACACUUCCAGGAAAAGCCACUAAGCGAAAGGCUUUACUAAACCGUACUGAAAACCGACACAGGUGGUCAGGUAGAGAAUACUCAGGCGCUUGAGAGAACUCGGGUGAAGGAACUAGGCAAAAUAGCACCGUAACUUCGGGAGAAGGUGCGCCGGCGUAGAUUGUAAGGGCUAGCCCCUGAAGGUUGAACCGGUCGAAGAUACCAGCUGGCUGCAACUGUUUAUUAAAAACACAGCACUCUGCAAACACGAAAGUGGACGUAUAGGGUGUGAUGCCUGCCCGGUGCUGGAAGGUUAAUUGAUGGUGUCAUCGCAAGAGAAGCACCUGAUCGAAGCCCCAGUAAACGGCGGCCGUAACUAUAACGGUCCUAAGGUAGCGAAAUUCCUUGUCGGGUAAGUUCCGACCUGCACGAAUGGCAUAAUGAUGGCCAGGCUGUCUCCACCCGAGACUCAGUGAAAUUGAAAUCGCCGUGAAGAUGCGGUGUACCCGCGGCUAGACGGAAAGACCCCGUGAACCUUUACUAUAGCUUGACACUGAACAUUGAAUUUUGAUGUGUAGGAUAGGUGGGAGACUUAGAAGUAGGAACGCCAGUUUCUAUGGAGUCAUCCUUGAAAUACCACCCUUUAACGUUUGAUGUUCUAACGAAGAUGACGAAACGUGGUCUCGGACAGUGUCUGGUGGGUAGUUUGACUGGGGCGGUCUCCUCCCAAAGCGUAACGGAGGAGCACGAAGGUUUGCUAAUCACGGUCGGACAUCGUGAGGUUAGUGCAAUGGUAUAAGCAAGCUUAACUGCGAGACAGACAAGUCGAGCAGGUACGAAAGUAGGUCAUAGUGAUCCGGUGGUUCUGAAUGGAAGGGCCAUCGCUCAACGGAUAAAAGGUACUCCGGGGAUAACAGGCUGAUACCGCCCAAGAGUUCAUAUCGACGGCGGUGUUUGGCACCUCGAUGUCGGCUCAUCACAUCCUGGGGCUGAAGUAGGUCCCAAGGGUAUGGCUGUUCGCCAUUUAAAGUGGUACGCGAGCUGGGUUUAGAACGUCGUGAGACAGUUCGGUCCCUAUCUGCCGUGGGCGUUGGAUGAUU
rnacentral:rRNA from 1 species